UGCAGUGCACGCGCUAUUGCGCGCGUAAAAUAUUUUUUUGAUUCCGUUUGGUGAUAUAUUUUGUUUGGAGAAGGUAUGUAAACAAUAGUGUAUAUAAGUAGAGGUAGUACAUAUGUAUUAGUGUACAUAGAGAUAGGAAUACAAGGAGAGGUAGCGUAGGGAAUGAAACUGAAGGAGGUCUACUGCUGUCUCUGCUGGCGAUUUUCAGGAGUGUUUGGAUUGGCUGGUGGAGUUAACAGUGACAUUUGAUUGAAUGGUAAUGUUUUUUAUGGUGAUUGGAUAUUUGUGGGUUGAUUGCUGGAAUAGCGUUUGGUAUAGUUAGGUCUGAUAGCACUGGUAGACUGGUCAAGUGGGUGAUUUGAGAUUGGAUGCUGCUUGCCAUAAGCAGUGAUGACAGAUUUGACCUGAUAGGAUUUUUUUUCAUUGCGAAAGCUGGUGUCUGUUAUUGUAACAGUGAAUGUGAAUUUGGAUAAUGUGAUCUGCAUAAUAUCAUUUGGUAGGCUGCUGGUGGACCUGUGGGAUCGCAUGACUGCUUCUACUGGUUUUCCAACUAUACGGCGGCCAACUUCACCAAAGCUGAUCAUUUCAGCUUCUUCAGUUUCAUCAGCAGCUAUGAAUGAUAAUUUGUAUCUACGUUUAAUAUCAGAUUGAAUUCAACGGUUAGCAAGAUUAGAAGUGACUUGUUACAUACAUUUGAAUGACAUGUUUUGUGUAAAUUCUAGGAACUUACUUGUAGUCAAAGCUGGUGGUAUCACAUUCGAAACACUUGUAGCCUGGGCCAUCAGGCUUACAUGACUUGUGGCAGUAUUUGCAAGAUGGGAACCACCAUACUUGGUUAUCAAGCACCUGAGUUAUUGUUACUGUGCACUGACAGCCACUUUCCUGUAACCAUAGUUGUGUUUCAGAACAUUAUAGUUAGCUGUGAAAAAAUAUAGUAAGUUUAUACUAA